UACGUAGGGUGCGAGCGUUGUCCGGAAUUAUUGGGCGUAAAGAGCUCGUAGGCGGUUUGUCACGUCUGCUGUGAAAUCCCGAGGCUCAACCUCGGGCCUGCAGUGGGUACGGGCAGACUGGAGUGCGGUAGGGGAGAUUGGAAUUCCUGGUGUAGCGGUGGAAUGCGUAGAGAUCCGGAAGAACACCAGUGGCGAAGGCGGCUCACUGGCCCGUUACCGACGCUCAG
rnacentral:rRNA from 1 species